rnacentral:other from 1 species
CUUAACCUGAAGUGACGGAGUACCUGUUAUUUUUGAACCUACAGUUACUUUAAACGGGAUUCCUAUAUCUUUCAUCCUAUGUCAGGCCUCUAUAAGUGGAAGACAGAAGUUGAUUUGCGGUUACCCACCUGGCGUGUGAGCUAGGAGUCAAAAGGCAGGGACCUCAUUUCGGGCCUUUU